rnacentral:tRNA from 1 species
GCCCAGGUAGCUCAGUUGGUUAGAGCCUUGUCCUGAUAUGCCAAAGUUGUGGGUUCAGUCCCCGAUCAGGGCA